AUAUGACGCGUUUCAGGUUUGAGUUCAGACCUUGGUCUGAAAUUACAUUUCACAAAGCAAGGUUUGUCCUCAGACCAGGUUUAUGUACGUCAUCAGACCCGAAAUUUACAGACUGCUCAGAUAGGAGGUUUGUAAUUUCUCAAACCUGGUUUGAGAGCUAUCAACCAAUCAGGAUGCAGCACUAGGUGGAGAUAAUUUAUGCUCGAUUGAUUUUAUCCAAAUAAUUCACCGCCAAAACAAUCUGCGAUAGUAUUUGGUCAGCCCGAUUUUAGUGCAAUUGAAAUCUCUCAAUCUCUCGAUCCUUUCCUUAAAAUCUAAAGAUGGUAGAAAUGCAGCUGAUUCAGCAUAAUAAGCUGGUGUACCUGGAGGAGGAGGAGCUGGAGCAAUAUAUAGCAGCACAACCGGGCAGAGGCCUCUGAGUCUGAGAUUGGGAAAACCCGCUGGAUGAUGAGCCUUUUGUUUUAGAUUGAGGGUAAUUCGAUCUAAAGGAUGCAUGGAGAGGAGGUGGCAUGCCGUGUCACAUUCAUCUGUUUGCCGAAUGGAGAGUAGUGAGAGAUGUUUCCGAAGCUGUUGUCAGAAGAAAGGGACAAGUUAUGAAGUUUCCUACAGGUUACAACAAGGCAAAAAGUGACUACUAUUCAGAAGCAGUUUUUCCAGUACUGCAGAUUUCCAGGAGUUGCUGUUGAUGGGACACAUGUUUACAUCAGGAGCCCUGGUGGGGCAAGAGCCAGGUACUACUUCAAUAGGAAGAACAGGUACUCCAUCGAUGUUUAGGUGAGAAUAAAUGAAUACAUCAU